GAGAGUAGGUACAGGCGAUUGCAAAUCAGUUAUGAUCACUGGUUUGAGGAAAGUCCGGACUCCCGAAAGACCAAACUUGCUGGAUAACGUCCAGUGCGAGCGAUCGUGAGGAUAGUGCCACAGAAAAAUACCGCCAGAAUUAAGUCAAAAGGUAAAAGCUAAAAAUAAAAAGAAAGAAAUCUCUCUUUUGCCUUUUUACUUUUUACUUUUUACUUGUUUUGGUAAGGGUGCAAAGGUGCGGUAAGAGCGCACCAGCAGCGUCGAGAGGCGCUGGCUCGGUAAACCCCGGUUGGGAGCAAGGUCAAAGGAACUACGGUUGGUCUUUUACCAGUUCCAUAAUAUAGAGCCGCUAGAGGCGUUUGGUAACAAGCGUCCCAGAUAGAUAAUCGCCCUCAAAAGUGUUUAAAAUCACUUAUGAGAACAGAAUCCGGCUUAUUCCCUACUCUCUCCC
rnacentral:RNase_P_RNA from 1 species